GGGGAUGAUCGGUUUCGACGAUUGCUUUGAAUCAGAGGAAGCGGGUCGAGAAUGUGCAGUCAUCUCGUUAACGUCCUGCACAAACCAAUAGGUGCCGAACACAAGAGCACCGACUUCGCCCUCGCUGCCUAAGCUAGCGGGGACUCAAGAAGUCCGUCGGCCUGGGGUUGCUCUCACCCCAGCCACCGGCGUCGCAUAGAGAGCCACUGCUCCACGGCCGCGUUGCCCGGUCGUGGGGGACUCUUAGGCAACUGAGCCCGUCGGCAGCGAGUCCGCGCGACUGCCGGGGCCGAGAAAAGCGCUAGCGGACUGCACCCGGAGAAGCUCUGGCUCAGAAGUGAUCGGACGCGGGUUCGAUUCCCGCCAUCUCCACUA
rnacentral:tmRNA from 1 species